rnacentral:lncRNA from 1 species
AGGAUUAAUAUUUGAUUAAAGUUAGGAUUAGGAUUUUGAAUUUAAUUUAAGAUUUGAUUAAAGUUAGGAUUUGAUUUAGAUUAGGAUUUGGUUAGAAUUUAUUUAAGAUUUGAUUAAGAUUUGUUUAGGAUUUAGUUAGGGCUUAUUUGAGAUUUUUCUAGGAUUUAACUAGGAUUUAAUUAGGAUUUGGUUAGGAUUUAUUUAAGAUUUUAUUAGGAUUUGAUUAGAGUUUGACUAGGAUUUUUUUAAGAUUUAGUUAAGGCUUAUUUAGGAUUUGUUUAGGAUUUGAUUAGGAUUUGACUAAGAUUUGAUUAAGGUUUGACUAGAUAUUGACUUGAAUUUAAUUAAGGUUUUUAUUUUAAUAUUUCAUUAAGAUUUCUAUUUUAUUAUAAUUUUUUUGAAUUUCUAUAUUAUUCUUUUAUAAUUUUUUUAAAAGAUUUUUAGGAAUUCUUUGUAUUUCUUGUAUAAUU